rnacentral:rRNA from 1 species
AGUCGAGCGCUUCUUCGGCCGCAAGGUUGAAGAGGAGCGGCGGACGGCUGAGUAAUAUAUAGGAAUCUGCCCCUUAGUGGAACAUAGCUCCGAGAAAUCGGGGGUAAUUUUCCAUAGUAUCUCGCUCUGCGAGAUUAAAAGCCUUUACCGGUUGCUAAGGGAUGAGCCUGUAUCCUAUCAGGUUGUUGGUAGAGUAAUAGCCUACCAAGCCUAUGACGGGUAGCUGAUCUGGGAGGAUGAUCAGCCAGAGGGGGACUGAGACACGGCCCCCACUCCUACGGGAGGCAGCAAUCAGGAAUAGUCGGCAAUGGGCGAAAGCCUGACCGCGCGACACCGCGUGUAGGAUUAAGGUAUUAUUUAUCGUAAACUACUGUUGGAGGGGAAGAAGAUCGUCGUAAGACGGUUUGACGGUACCCUCCGAGAAAGGAGCCGCUAACUGCGUGCCAGAAGCGUCGGUAAUACGUGGGCUUCAAGCAUUAUCCGGUUUUAUUGGGCGUAAAGGGUCGUGUAGGCGGUUUGAUAAGGUAUCUUUGAAAGCUCGAUGCUCAACAUCGAGUUGGGGAUACAACUGUCAUGACUAGAAUUUCUUUAAGGGUAAUCGGAACUCAAAGAGGAGUAGUGAAAUGCGUUGAUACUUUGGGAAACACCAAUGGCGAAGGCAGAUUACUGGAAGGAAAUUGACGCUGAGACACGAAAGCUAGGGGAGCGAAGCAGAUUAGAGACCUGCGU